UCGUGAACAAGCCACACCCCGGGCGACCGGGGGCCGGAAAGCCGCGGGUCUCAGCAGAGACGGCCGGGUUGCCACC
rfam:Desulfobacca acetoxidans DSM 11109, complete genome.